UACGUAGGGUGCGAGCGUUGUCCGGAAUUAUUGGGCGUAAAGAGCUUGUAGGCGGUCUGUCGCGUCUGCUGUGAAAAUCCGGGGCUCAACCCCGGACUUGCAGUGGGUACGGGCAGACUAGAGUGUGGUAGGGGAGACUGGAAUUCCUGGUGUAGCGGUGGAAUGCGCAGAUAUCAGGAGGAACACCGAUGGCGAAGGCAGGUCUCUGGGCCACUACUGACGCUGAGGUGCGAAAGCGUGGGGAGCAAACAGG
rnacentral:rRNA from 1 species